rnacentral:misc_RNA from 1 species
UCUCCGUUGGUGAACCAGCGGAGGGAUCAUUACCGAGUUUACAACUCCCAAACCCAAUGUGAACCAUACCAAACUGUUGCCUCGGCGGGGUCACGCCCCGGGUGCGUCGCAGCCCCGGAACCAGGCGCCCGCCGGAGGGACCAACCAAACUUUUUCUGUAGUCCCCUCGCGGACGUUAUUUUUACAGCUCUGAGCAAAAAUUCAAAAUGAAUCAAAACUUUCAACAACGGAUCUCUUGGUUCUG